rnacentral:rRNA from 1 species
UACGUAGGGCGCAAGCGUUGUCCGGAAUUAUUGGGCGUAAAGAGCUCGUAGGCGGCUUGUCGCGUCGGAUGUGAAAGCCCGGGGCUUAACCCCGGGUCUGCAUUCGAUACGGGCAGGCUGGAGUGUGGUAGGGGAGAUCGGAAUUCCUGGUGUAGCGGUGAAAUGCGCAGAUAUCGGGAGGAACACCAGUAGCGAAGGCGGCUCGCUGGGCCAUACCUGACGCUGAGACGCGAAAGCAUGGGGAGCGAACAGG